UCUACACCAAGGCAUCUGAG
rnacentral:misc_RNA from 1 species